AAAAAGAUAAGUUAAUAAAACUACUGGGUUCAUACCCCAAUCAUAAAGGUCCCACUCCUUUUCUUUUUA
rnacentral:tRNA from 1 species